rnacentral:tRNA from 1 species
CAUUAGGUGGCUGAAAGAAAGCAGCGGAAUUUUAAACCGCCCCAUGAUAAGUUAACGUCUAUUCCUAGUG